GAUGAACGCUGGCGGCGUGCUUAACACAUGCAAGUCGAACGAAGCACUUUAGUUGAUCCCUUCGGGGUGAUUCUAAAGUGACUUAGUGGCGAACGGGUGAGUAACGCGUGAGAAACCUGCCUUUCAGUGGGGGACAACAGUUGGAAACGACUGCUAAUACCGCAUAACAUAUACCGGGGGCAUCCCUGGUAUAUCAAAGCUUUAUGUGCUGAAAGAUGGUCUCGCGUCUGAUUAGCUAGAUGGCGGGGUAACGGCCCACCAUGGCGACGAUCAGUAGCCGGUCUGAGAGGAUGAACGGCCACAUUGGGACUGAGAUACGGCCCAGACUCCUACGGGAGGCAGCAGUGGGGAAUAUUGGGCAAUGGGGGAAACCCUGACCCAGCAACGCCGCGUGAAGGAAGAAGGCCUUCGGGUUGUAAACUUCUUUAGCAGGGACGAAGAACGUGACGGUACCUGCAGAAAAGCAACGGCUAACUACGUG
rnacentral:rRNA from 1 species